rnacentral:rRNA from 1 species
UACAGAGGGUGCAAGCGUUAAUCGGAAUUACUGGGCGUAAAGGGCGCGUAGGCGGCCUGCUAAGUCGAACGUGAAAUCCCCGGGCUCAACCCGGGAACUGCGUCCGAUACUGGUAGGCUUGAAUUCGGGAGAGGGAUGCGGAAUUCCAGGUGUAGCGGUGAAAUGCGUAGAUAUCUGGAGGAACACCGGUGGCGAAGGCGGCAUCCUGGACCGACAUUGACGCUGAGGCGCGAAAGCCAGGGGAGCAAACGGG